UUUCGCAAUGCCCGAAAGGGUGACGAAGCGACGCCGCGUGCGGGAAGAAGGCCUUCGGGUUGUAAACCGCUGUCGGGAGUUAAGAAAUGUAAGGAUGUUAAUAGCAUCUUUGCUUGACUAAGGCUCCGGAGGAAGCCACGGCUAACUCUGUGCCAGCAGCCGCGGUAAUACAGAGGCGGCAAGCGUUGUUCGGAAUUAUUGGGCGUAAAGAGCACGUAGGCGGCUAUGUAAGUCGGUUGUGAAAGCCUUCCGCUCAACGGGAGAACAGCAUCCGAUACUGCAUGGCUUGAGUGCGGGAGGGGAGAGUGGAACUUCUGGUGGAGCGGUGAAAUGCGUAGAUAUCAGAAGGAACGCCGGCGGCGAAAGCGGCUCUCUGGCCCAUAACUGACGCUGAGUGUGCGAAAGCUAGGGGGGCAAACGGGAUUAGAUACCCCGGUAGUCCUAGCCGUAAACGAUGGGCACUAAGUAGAGGGGUUUUA
rnacentral:rRNA from 1 species